CAGACUUUGAUACCAGAAACACAUAUAUAGUCCUCAGCCCAGACCUCCCCAAUAAAAAUAGAAUAAAUUAAGACCCCAAACCAGAAAUACAUAUAGGUUGCAGCCUAGACCACUAAACUAAUAUGGACCCCGGGGAGACGCCAUUCGUUGGCUGACAUGAUAAACUACUCCGUCCACCGAAGCAUAAGGGUGGAGUGGAGACCUGUGAAGGAGAUUCGACAACAAUGCCCCAGGAAUUGUACCCCUUUUCAUGCCGGCACUAGCCUCUGAGUGCCCCACGCUGUCUUGAAGUCCCUACCAGAGGAGCAGCCCGAGAUGGGAGCCAGAUAUCCAGGUCUUACGCGCUCCAGUGACCUCUCCACACCUAUAACUGAGCCAACUUCAAGCUCCUGUCAGGAAGUGAACAAUUAUCAGGGCAGGGACAAAGCUGUUUAUCUAUGGUUUGUGAUUUUCAUGCAAACUUCC